rnacentral:rRNA from 1 species
CCUACGGGAGGCAGCAGUGAGGAAUAUUGGUCAAUGGACGAGAGCCUGAACCAGCCAAGUAGCGUGAAGGAUGACUGCCCUAUGGGUUGUAAACUUCUUUUAUAAGGGAAUAAAAUGUUCCACGUGUGGGCUUUUGUAUGUACCAUAUGAAUAAGGAACGGCUAACUCCGUGCCAGCAGCCGCGGUAAUACGGAGGAUCCGAGCGUUAGCCGGAUUUAUUGGGUUUAAAGGGAGCGUAGGUGGGUGGGUAAGUUAGUUGGGAAAGUUUGGGGCUCAACCGUAAAAUUGCAGUUGAAACUGGCAGUCUUGAGUACAGUAGAGGUAGGCGGAAUGCGUGGUGUAGCGGUGAAAUGCUUAGAUAUCACGAAGAACUCCGAUUGCGAAGGCAGUUCACUGGACUGCAACUGACACUGAGGCUCGAAAGUGUGGGUAUCAAACAGGAUUAGAUACCCCUGUAGUC